rnacentral:misc_RNA from 1 species
UACACUCAGAGCCCUGACUGUAGUUUCAUUUCAGAGUAACAAUCUUUAUAAUGACUUAAUCAUAUUUUAAUUAGAUUUUAAAAACUGCGCUCUCAAGAUUUGAUACAUACCAGGUAUGUGAUUCUGAAGGUGAUCAAUUUAUUUGAAUAAUAUGGGUUUAAUUAACUUAUAACUCACAAAAUACUGUAAAACAAUUUCUUCUUUUAUAAUAUUUAUUCAUGUAAUUUGUGCAAUAUCAAUAGCCUUGUGCUCACAUCUUUGAUAUUCUAAAACAUAAUGAUAGCCAUUAACUACAGCAAAUGUAUAAUAGUAUUGUUAUCGAAGAUAUAUUGGAACUUGGUAUCAUGGUCCAUAUUUACAUCUUAUAUGCAUUUAAGAGGUAAUAAGAAAUGUUGAAAUUUAAAAAUUAUUGUAUUUCCUGUAUUGUUGACCAUAAUUUGGUGCAUAAAGUUCAAUUACAUUUUAACUUGUACCUGUAUAGCAUAUAUUUAUUUACAAUGUAAACCAAAAUCAAAUAAAAAAAUGAACAAU